rnacentral:rRNA from 1 species
UAAGCGGAGGAAAAGAAAAUAACAAUGAUUCCCUUAGUAACGGCGAGUGAAGGGGGAAAAGCUCAAAUUUUAAAUCGGCAUAGGUUUACCUAGUCGAGUUGUAAUUUGAAGAAGCGUUUACCGCAUCCAGGUCGGCCCAAAUCCUUUGGGAUAAGGUAUCAUGGAGGGUGAGAAUCCCGUCCGGUUGACCUCAGGAUGUUUACGUUACGCUCUCUAAGAGUCGAGUUGUUUGGGAUUGCAGCUCAAAAUGGGAGGUAAAUUUCUCCUAAGGCUAAAUACAGGCGAGAGACCGAUAGCGAACAAGUACCGUGAGGGAAAGAUGAAAAGAACUUUGGAAAAGAGAGUUAAAAGCACGUGAAAUUGUUGAAAGGGAAGCGCUUGCAGCCAGACUUGCCUGUAGUUGCUCAUCCGGGUUUCUACCCGGUGCACUCUUCUACGGGCAGGCCAGCAUCAGUUUGGGCGGUUGGAUAAAGGUCUCUGUCAUGUACCUCCCUUCGGGGGAGAUCUUAUAGGGGAGACGACAUGCAACCAGCCUGGACUGAGGUCCGCGCAUCUGCUAGGAUGCUGGCGUAAUGGCUGUAAGCGGCCCGUCUUGAAACACGGACCAAGGAGUCUAACAUGUAUGCGAGU